rnacentral:rRNA from 1 species
AUGCGGCGUUCACUUGAGUGGAAUGGGGGCGUGCACUUCUCCGCCUACAGCUCGCCGUGGAAGCCUUGGGCUGCUGGUAGCGCCAGAAAUAUGGUGCCCGGAGAGGCUGUGCCGCACCGGGGCGGCAGCGUGAGUGAGGCAUUGAGCCCGUGCGCCGCUGGGGCACCGCCGCACCAGGACGCCGACCGGCAAGAGAGAAGGGGAAGAAGUCGACCUCCCAUGGAGAAUAGGGAGGCAGCCAGGCAGGGAUGGGCGCGGACGGCGAGGACAAGGGAGCUCGCCGUCAACCAGGAAGACGGCGAUGGCGGCCAACCAUACUUUGUCCAGCAAGAAAGCCGCGGGUGA